UUAAGUUCAGCGGGUAUCCCUACCUGAUCCGAGGUCAACCUGAAAAAAAUUGGGGGUUGCUGGCGAGCACACACCCGGACCUCCAGAGCGAGAAGAAUUACUACGCUCGGAGCCGGACGGCACCGCCACUGAUUUAGGGCCCGCCGGGGCGGCGGGGCCCAACACAAGCAGAGCUUGAGGGUUGUAAUGACGCUCGAACA
rnacentral:misc_RNA from 1 species